rnacentral:rRNA from 1 species
AACGAACGCUGGCGGCAGGCCUAACACAUGCAAGUCGAACGCUGUAGCAAUACAGAGUGGCAGACGGGUGAGUAACGCGUGGGAACGUACCCUUUGGUUCGGAACAACUCAGGGAAACUUGAGCUAAUACCGGAUAAGUGCGAGAGCAGAAAGAUUUAUCGCCGAAGGAUCGGCCCGCGUCUGAUUAGCUAGUUGGUGAGGUAAUGGCUCACCAAGGCGACGAUCAGUAGCUGGUCUGAGAGGAUGAUCAGCCACAUUGGGACUGAGACACGGCCCAAACUCCUACGGGAGGCAGCAGUGGGGAAUAUUGGACAAUGGGCGCAAGCCUGAUCCAGCCAUGCCGCGUGAGUGAUGACGGCCUUAGGGUUGUAAAGCUCUUUUACCUGGGAAGAUAAUGACGGUACCAGGAGAAUAAGCCCCGGCUAACUUCGUGCCAGCCGCCGCGGUAAAAC